CAGAAGCAAGACAAACUGGAACAUGUCGGCUGGUUUGUGGGUCGUCCAGCAGGUUGGACCACAAUUUGGUGACCCUUCAGAAACUCAGCCUGGUGGUGGCAGCAGCAUGAUGUGGGACUGUUGCCAUCGUUUCACCUCUGCAGUCGCCUGAGAAUUUCUGACCAUCUUCAUCCCAGUAUGACCACAGUGGACUCAUCUGGUGGAUAUUUCACACUAAGUCAUCUGAUCUCAAACUGGUUCCUAAACUGGGAGGAUCACCAGUUAACUGGAUCUUAGAGCAUCAGAGCCGCUGAAACCUCAUCACCAUAAUCCGUCUCAGUAGUUUCUGGUUGGCUGCAGCACCGACUCACUAACUUUAGCUGGUUUCUCAGUCAGAAAUCACCUCACUGGCUGAACCUCACCUUCAGCAGCAACCAGUUUCUCUCUGGCUCCUCCCACCACUGCUGAGCUCAGCCAAUGAGAAGGCUCGUCUCUAACAGCAGCUUGAUGAUGAUGAUGAAGGUCUGUUAGUCUUCCUUCUGCUGCAGUGGAUCAUCUCUGUAGAUCUGCUGUCUGUCCUGAACUCCUGGAACAUGUUGCUGUACCUCCUGCUCUUCUCUCUCUACAUCGCCAUGGGCUCCAUGAACACCGUCACACAGGAGCAGAGGGAACACGUCGCUUCAGAGGGAAGCCCCACCAGUUUGAGCUGCGGAUAUACUGGUUCUAUCUAUAAUGUCCAGUGGUACCGACAGCAGCACGGAUCCAGACCAGAGUUCCUGCUCUACAUCACAGAGUCGGGAUCGAUCCAUCCAACUCGCUCCGAUUUCUCAGCUCACAUCGAUAAAACUCAGAAACGAGGAACUCUGCUGAUCUCCUCUGCUGCAGUGACAGACUCUGCUGUGUACUACUGCGCUGUGGCGCCCACAGUGACAGGAAACACCAGAACCCUGUACAAAAACCUGCAGUACUCCACAGCAGCCACUAGAGGGCCUCACUGCCUGUUAAACCACUGA